GAUGAACGCUGGCGGCAGGCUUCAUACAUGCAAGUCGAGCGGAAAGGCCCCUUCGGGGGUACUCGAGCGGCGAACGGGUGAGUAACAGGUGGGUAAUCUGCCUUUCGGAGGGGGAUAACGGCUGGAAACGGCCGCUAAUACCCCGUACGGUUGUGAAGCUCUCGGGCUUUGCAAAGAAAGGGGCCUUUAAAGCCCCGCCGAAAGAUGAGCCCGCCCCCCAUUAGCUAGUUGGCGGGGUAAUGGCCCACCAAGGCUGUGAUGGGUAGCCGAGCUGAGAGGUUGAUCGGCCACACUGGAACUGAGACACGGUCCAGACACCUACGGGUGGCAGCAGUAGGGAAUAUUGCGCAAUGGGCGAAAGCCUGACGCAGCCAUGCCGCGUGGAUGAUGAAGGCCUUCGGGUCGUAAAGUCCUUUUCUGAGGGAAGAACUGCCGGGGGAGGAAAUGCCCUUGGCUUGACGGUACCUCAGGAAUAAGCAACGGCUAACUCCGUG
rnacentral:rRNA from 1 species